rnacentral:rRNA from 1 species
CCUACGGGUGGCAGCAGUGGGGAAUAUUGCACAAUGGAGGAAACCCUGAUGCAGCGACGCCGCGUGAGUGAAGAAGUAUUUCGGUAUGUAAAGCUCUAUCAGCAGGGAAGAAAAUGACGGUACCUGACUAAGAAGCCCCGGCUAACUACGUACCAGCAGCCGCGGUAAUACGUAGGGGGCAAGCGUUCUCCGGAUUUACUGGGUGUAAAGGGAGCGUAGACGGCAGCGCAAGUCUGGAGUUAAAUCCCAGGGCUUAACCAAGGAACUGCUUUGGAAACUGUGCAGCUAGAGUGCAGGAGAGGUAAGUGGAAUUCCUAGGGUAGCGGUGAAAUGCGUAGAUAUUAGGAGGAACACCAGUGGCGAAGGCGGCUGACUGGACUGUAACUGACGUUGAGGCUCGAAAGCGUGGGGAGCAAACAGGAUUAGAUACCCGGGUAGUC